rnacentral:rRNA from 1 species
GAGGGGGGUGCAAACGUUAUUCGGAUUUACUGGGUGUAAAGGGUGUGUAGACGGGGGGUUAUUAAGUUCGUUGUUAAACCUUCCGGGCCUAACCGGGAAGCUCGCGAUGGAAACUGGUAGCCUAGAGGAUGGAAGAGAGAAGUGGAAUUCUCGGAGUAGCGGUAAAAUGCGUAGAUCUCGAGAGGAACACCGAUGGCGAAGGCAGCUUCUUGGUCCAUUCCUGACGUUGAAACACGAAAGCGUGGGGAGCAAACAGGAUUAGAUACCCUGGUAGUCCACGCCGUAAACGAUGAUCACUAGAUGUUGGCUCUGUUUUGCAGAGUUGGUAUCGAAGCUAACGCAUUAAGUGAUCCACCUGGGAACUACGAUCGCAAGAUUA